rnacentral:tRNA from 1 species
GGCCGCCUGGCGAAAUGGUAUCGCGUCUGACUACGAGUAUCAGGAGAUUGCAGGUUCGAGCCCUGCGGUGGUCA